rnacentral:tRNA from 1 species
UUUUCUUUAGUAUAAAAAGUAUAUUUAACUUCCAAUUAAAAGGUUUAGCUUAAAGAAAAA